rnacentral:lncRNA from 1 species
GAGGAGUCCGGGGACGGGAGCGGCUCGGGCUUGACCUGCGCGAAGGAGCCGUCGGGGAGCCAGCCGGUGGCGAAGGCGUCCCGCAGCGCCUCGAACACGACCAUGUCGUCAGCGUCGUCGGUGCGGAACGGGAGCGAGCCGCUCCACUGGUCCGCCACCAGGCUUCCGAAGCUCUCGCUCCGGCGGCACGCCGGCGGCUCCUCCAGGAGGUGCUGCCGGAUGGUGUCCAGCACCAGCGCCUCCGACGGCUCCUCCAAGAGGUGCUCCCGGAUGGUGUUCAGCAGCAUCUCUUCGCUCUCUGUUCCGGGCUGGGGCUGGUGGCGAGCGCCCUCUCUGUUUAGCUGAGGAAACCCAAGUGAGCUGUGGUGUGGAGUGAUC